rnacentral:tRNA from 6 species
GUGCCUAUGGUGUAAUGGCAGCACAGAGCCCUGUGGAGGCUUUAGUUCGGGUUCGAAUCCCGAUAGGCACCCCA